AGUAAAAAGAAAAUCUAGAUUAUCAAGGACUACACAGACUACGGUCUCAGAAUCGGAGCCGACAUCGGUUUCAUUUGAGGAAUACAUGUUUAUGGGAUGCCGUUCAUCUACUGACUCUGUUUCGACGCAUUCAAUGAGUCAGACAGUGAAUGGCCCUCCAAAUGCUGUUGCUCCCGAUAUCGAUGAAAG